AGAGUUUGAUCAUGGCUCAGAUUGAACGCUGGCGGCAUUUACACAUGCAAGUCGAACGCGUGCUGGGGGCAACUCUGGCAUGAGUGGCGAACGGGUGAGUAAUGCAUCGGAACGUACCCCGUAGUGGGGGAUAACCCGGCGAAAGCCGGGCUAAUACCGCAUAUGCUCUACGGAGGAAAGCAGGGGACCCGCAAGGGCCUUGUGCUAUGGGAGCGGCCGAUGCCCGAUUAGCUUGUUGGUGAGGUAAAGGCUCACCAAGGCGACGAUCGGUAGCUGGUCUGAGAGGAUGAUCAGCCACACUGGGACUGAGACACGGCCCAGACUCCUACGGGAGGCAGCAGUGGGGAAUUUUGGACAAUGGGGGCAACCCUGAUCCAGCCAUGCCGCGUGCGGGAAGAAGGCCUUCGGGUUGUAAACCGCUUUUGGUCGGGAAGAAAAGGCCGCUCUUAAUACGGGUGGUUCUUGACGGUACCGGCAGAAUAAGCACCGGCUAACUACGUGCCAGCAGCCGCGGUAAUACGUAGGGUGCGAGCGUUAAUCGGAAUUACUGGGCGUAANNCGGCGCAGGCGGUUCGCCGUGUCCGAUGUGAAAGCCCCGGGCUUAACCUGGGAAUGGCAUUGGAAACUGGCGGGCUGGAGUAUGGCAGAGGGGGGUGGAAUUCCACGUAGCAGUGAAAUGCGUAGAGAUGUGGAGGAACACCGAUGGCGAAGGCANNCCCCUGGGCCAAUACUGACGCUCAGGCACGAAAGCGUGGGGAGCAAACAGGAUUAGAUACCCUAGUAGUCC
rnacentral:rRNA from 1 species